rnacentral:rRNA from 1 species
UACGAAGGGGGCUAGGCGUUGUUCGGAAUUACUGGGCGUAAAGCGCACGCAGGCGGAUAUUUAAGUCAGGGGUGAAAGUCCCAGAGCUCAACUCUGGAACUGCCUUUGAUACUGGGUAUCUUGAGUAUGGAAGAGGUAAGUGGAAUUCCGAGUGUAGAGGUGAAAUUCGUAGAUAUUCGGAGGAACACCAGUGGCGAAGGCGGCUUACUGGUCCAUUACUGACGCUGAGGUGCGAAAGCGUGGGGAGCAAACAGGGAUUAAGA